rnacentral:rRNA from 1 species
AUACGGAGGAUGCGAGCGUUAUCCGGAUUUAUUGGGUUUAAAGGGUGCGUAGGCGGCCCGUUAAGCCGGCGGUGAAAUUUCCGGGCUCAACCCGGUCACUGCCGUCGGAACUGGUGGGCUUGAGUGCGUUUGGGGUGGCUGGAAUGUGCGGUGUAGCGGUGAAAUGCAUAGAUAUCGCACAGAACGCCGAUCGCGGAGGCAGGUCGCCAAGCCGCAACUGACGCUGAGGCACGAAAGCGCGGGGAUCGAACAGGAUUAGAUACCCUGGUAGUCCGCGCAGUAAACGAUGGACGCUCGCCGUCCGGCCGGAUAGGGUCGGGUGGCCAAGCGAAAGCGAUAAGCGUCCCACCUGGGGAGUACGCCGGCAACGGUGAAACUCAAAUGAAUUGACGGGG